CAGUAGCCGCGGUAAUACGUAGGGUGCUAGCGUUGUUCGGAAUUACUGGGCGUAAAGCGCACGUAGGCGGAUAUUUAAGUCAGGGGUGAAAUCCCGCAGCUCAACUGCGGAACUGCCUUUGAUACUGGGUAUCUUGAGUAUGGAAGAGGUUAGUGGAAUUGCGAGUGUAGAGGUGAAAUUCGUAGAUAUUCGCAGGAACACCAGUGGCGAAGGCGGCUAACUGGUCCAUAACUGACGCUGAGGUGCGAAAGCGUGGGGAGCAAACAGGAUUAGAUACCCCGGUAGUCCCUGUCUCUUAUAC
rnacentral:rRNA from 1 species